UACGAAGGGGGCUAGCGUUGCUCGGAAUGACUGGGCGUAAAGGCGCGUAGGCGGAUAGUACAGUCAGAGUGUCGAAAUUCCCGGGCUCAACCUGGGGGCUGCAUUUGAUACGUGCUGUCUAGAGUCCGGGAAGAGGGUGGUGGAAUUCCCAGUGUAGAGGUGAAAUUCGUAGAUAUUGGGAGAACACCGGUGGCGAAGGCGGCCGACCUGGUCCGG
rnacentral:rRNA from 1 species